ACGGUGAUCCGUCUCCUUUGUCCCCAUUUCUCUUUCCGUCAUAUCGUUUUCUCUUCCAUUUCUCUGUAUCGUUUUCUCUCUCCGUCCUACAUCUAGGGUUUUCUCUGUCUCCUCAUGCCCCUUGAGAGGUUCACCAGGAGGAAGAUGGUUCGGUUAAGUUGCACAAAUCUGUGGGGUUACGAGACCGAGGAGUGAAGAAGGAUCAAGAUCAUCGGGAUUGAGACAGGGACUGAGACCGAUCAAGUCGGAGCAAGAGGAAACCAGCUGAUGAAAUGAUAGGCUGUUCCAAGAAAGCUCGAGCUCGAUGGCGUUGGAUGCGCUCUACCUGUUGAAGCUCCUCCUCAGAUUUCUUUAACUGGAACAAAGUCAAGAUACGCUAUUGUGAUGGUGCAUCUUUUGCUGGGCACCCUGAAAGUGAGUUUAAGGCAAGUCCAGUGGAUGUUUUUCAGCUUGGUCAGGAAUUAUGCAAAUUCUAUUUUUUACAUGUAGUGUGUGUGAAUGUGUGUGUGUGUGUGUGUGUGAGAGAGAGAGAGAGAGAGAGAGAGAGAGAGAGAUUUGACUAAUUAUGUCAUCUCUUCAUCUUUUCUCUAUAGAAUGGAACAGAACUAUUCUUCAGGGGUCAGCUUAUUUGGGAAACACUUAUGGAUGAGCUCUUGUCAAUUGGAUUGUCUAAUGCUAGACAGGUAUUGUUCUUAAUUUUAUAAUAAAAUUACUUUUUUUUUGGGGUUAAAUUAGAGAAGUUGAUAAAACAUUAUUCAUAAUUAAGCUUGUAGAUGACUAAUUCCUUAUUCAAUGGUCAUUAUUUGUGGGAACAUAGUAACAGAUUUCUUCCUUACUGUUAUUUAAGGUGAAAAAGCGAACUGAGACAAGAAGACCUCCUAAGGAAGUGCAAAGUGAUGGCUUCAUCGAAGCGAGCUGGACACUAAGGAAAUUGUAAAAAAUAAAUAAAUAACAUAGACAAAAACUCAAUAAUUCCCAAAAGUAUGAUGCAUUUAACAUUUCAAAUAAUAAAUAUCCAUCAAAAGCAUAAAGCAUCCAAUACAAUCCGACAUUCCAAAUACUAAUAUCUCACAAAAAUUUAAGAUAUCCAACAACAAAAAUCUUAAGAAAAAUUUCAUUUCAGUUGAGGUUUUUUUUUUCCUCCUUUCCAUUUAAUUAAAAAUCGAAACAACAAAAUUUCCAAAUAAAAUAAUAAUAAUAUCAACAACUCCAUACUAUUUCAUGACCCAUUUUGUAAUAGCCACUUCAUUGUCAUAAUUCUAAGACUCACAAUAGCUGCUAAUUUUUUUUCUUCUGUUUUUCCGUAUAUGAAAUUGAUUACAAGAUAUCGCCUAAAAGACAACCAAGUAGUGCUACAUACUUUAUCCAUCUAGAAAAAUAAAAAGAAAACUACAAUACUUUAGACUAUGAAGCAUGGCAUUUCGAUAAACAUGCCAUACUUGUACCAACCAAGUUGACUAUGAAGCAUGGGUACAAAUCAUGUUGAGCGCCCAGCGAAAGAAAAACACAUAAGAGCUAUUUUUGCUGCUAUUUCAGCUAUGAGGCCUCGAGUGGAUGUAGCUUAUUGCAUACAUGCUUUGGCUAGACAAUUAUCAAAGACAAAAUUGGCGUGGAGUAUAUGAGUUUGCCUGCGAGUCAGUACUCUGUGUUGGAUGCAGGGAGUAUUGAGAGAGUUGACAAUAGCACCUUCAGGUGUUACGUAUACAAUUUCAAGUUCUUUGCUUUUGAAGUGUGCCCUGUUUUGUUGGUUAGAGUUGAAGAGGAACCA